rnacentral:rRNA from 1 species
AAUCUUCCACAAUGGUCGAAAGCCUGAUGGAGCAACGCCGCGUGAGUGAAGAAGGAUUUCGGUUCGUAAAACUCUGUUGUUAGGGAAGAAUAAGUACAGUAGUAACUGGCUGUACAUUCACGGUACCGUAUUAUAAAGCCACUGCUAAAUCCGUUCCAGCAGCCGCGGUAAUACGUAGGUGGCAAGCGUUGUACGGAAUUAUUGGGCGUAAAGCGCGCGUAGGCGGUCCUUUAAGUCUGAUGUGAAAGCCCACGGCUCAACCGUGGAGGGUCAUUGGAAACUGGGGGACUUGAGUGCAGAAGAGGAAAGUGGAAUUCCAAGUGUAGCGGUGAAAUGCGUAGAGAUUUGGAGGAACACCAGUGGCGAAGGCGACUUUCUGGUCUGUAACUGACGCUGAGGCGCGAAAGCGUGGGGAGCAAACA